GGGGCUAUCUGGCCUAGCCUCACGAGGUCGGGCUGGAAACCCUCGCCUCUCGCGGUCUCGCCUCUCCAAGACACCCAGGCCGCCGCCUUCGCCUACAGGCACCUUGCCGCCUCCGUCCGCUGCCCGUGGCUUCCGUCCACCUCCACCUCACUCACCCACUACAUCGCCGACCAAGCGCAGCACCGCGCGUGGACCAGACACCGCCCGUGGCUUCCGUGGACCAGACGCCGCCCGUGGCUUCCGUGGACGCAGCACCGUGCGUGGACCAGCCGCUGCUACAUCGCCGACCAGCUAUAUAUGCUUCCCUUUAUUCUGAAAAGAGGCCAGUACACACUUCUUGUCGUAGUGGUGCACAAAAAAUUAGAGAAAUUUCUACAAGCAGGUAGCUGCGAGGACUGCUAUUUAGUUACCAACAAUGUGUCCGAUUGUUGUGGCUUAGGGACGAGAUUCACAAGCAGAUGUGCUGAUCCAAUUCAGUUUUCAGAGUAUGUUGACAAUCUGAAUUUAGUUCAAGCAAUACCUUCUCUUUAUUACAGAUGUUUAACCAGGUGAUACACAAGGGAUUUUCAUCAACAAGUGGUCGCCAGAAGAACUGAAACAUCAAGAUGGCGUUUGCUUUUAGGUCGUGUAUGUUGAAACUAUAUGUUUUAUUAUUAUGCACUGAGACUAUGUUUGACAUUGGUCGUGUACACUGAGACUAUGUUUUAU